rnacentral:lncRNA from 1 species
UGUCUCCUUCAUCCAUCAAGACCAUAUUUUGUCUAAAAUGGCAUUUCUAAAUCGUGUUUUCUUUUCAUUUUAUUCAAAUAAGUGAUUUUUCACAUAGAUUUGGUUUUUCUUUUGUCUUAUGUUUAUGAUUUUGUUAUCUAAGUGUGAUGAUGUUGUGUUGUAUGUCACAUUAGUAGACGUUUUAAUUUCACGUUUUGUUUCAAUGUUCGUGCGUUGAAAUUAAUGGAUUUUCUUCGUUUGAUGUCAUUAUAAAUUCAAGCAAUGAUUUUCACGUUUUCAACGUUAUGAAUUUGGAGACAUGGGUAUUUCAGACACAUUUAUUUUAUUACAUUUGGAACCAUCAUGUUGUUUUAGCUUACAAACUUGGAUGUUGUCAGUUUAUUUUAGCCAUCUUGAGAUUUGUAUUGUUCUCCAUCGAUGCAAUUUCUACCGAUUUCAAUGAAUAUAUACUAGUUUUAGUGAGAAAAAAAUGUAUUUAAAAGAGAAAAUAAUGAUUGAUAUAAGAUUUAUUUAAAUCAAAGACAAAUGGAGUAUGAGUUAAUAGAGAGAUAGGAGAAAAAAAGUCACUAAAUUAAACAAUGGAAAGAUAGGAAAUCCUUCAAAGUUUUGUGACAAGAAAAUUGAUUUUCUGACAUAGAAUAAUUUCUAUUGACAUAAAUAAAUGAUGUUUUUAUCCCCAGCGGUAGUUAACAACCGUUAGAUUAUGCGCCGACAGUUAACAACCGCUGGCUUCCAACGGAAGUUAACUGCCAUUGUGUUCGUGAUAUAUUCAAGUCAAUAGCCAUAAUCCAUACACUCAUUUCAUCAUCACCAUCACCAUCUUUCUCUCAAAUUUUCACUCUCUCUCUCUAAAAAAACUCUACCAAAUCAUCCAAAAAAAUUUCCAUUCAAUCACAAAUUUGAAACAAUGGCCGGGUGGAUCGACGUUCAUGCACAAUUCAAUGGUGGAGAACCUCAGAGGUUGGAGGUUCGGUGCCUUGGUGUAACGUUAUGAGGUCUCAAGGAUGAACUGACUGAAUUCAACCAAGGAGUCAACCCCAGAGACACAAGGAGGGUGGAACACGUUCGGUAUAAACGUCCAACACUCGAUGAGGGGAGAGUAUCAUUCACUUGGGUGGAAUUAACGAACGACGAAAACGUGACGAGCAUGUUUUCGGAGCACAACAUGUUCCAGUGGAUCGAUAUGCGGGUGACGUUGCUGAGAUCAACUGAAGAUAUCAUCAAAAGUUUGAUUCCGCCAGAAGAUCUUCAUUAGGUACCGAAUGAAUGCACCUUCCAGCUACAACAAUUGUCUUCCUCUGAAUGGGGUAAUUCAAACUUGCCAAAUAGCACGUCCAAUGUUUGACCGGCAUUCCCAUUGUUCCUUUCAAAAGAUUAAAUUCUUGUUAGGCCGGUUUAAAUGAAGGUAUUGAAAUGUCAAUGAAUGAACCUCAUUCUUUUGACACUUGAAUACAGUCAUUUAAACCAAACCUAACAAGAAUUUAAUCUUUUGAAUGGAACUAUGGGAAUGCCGGUCGUAUAUUGGAGUCCUGCUGCUUGGCAAGUUUGAAUUUACCCCAUUCAAAGGUAACACAAUUGGUGUAGUUGGAAGGUACAAACGUCAAACUGCAACAAUUGUCUUCUUUUGAAUGAGGUAAUUCAAACUUGUUAAACGGCAGGAAUCCAACAUUCGAUGAGCAUUUUGAAUUAUGGUAUUCAAGUGUCAAGGAAUGCACCUCAUUCUUUUGACACUUGAAUACCAUCAUUUAAAAUGUUCAUCGCAUCUGGAGUCCUGCUGUUUAGCAAGUUUGAAUUUGCCCAAUUCAAAGGUAAGAUAAUUGUUGCAGUUGGAAGGUACAUUCCGGAAUGUAAUGUAAUGUGAUAACAUAUAUAGUUGAAU